rnacentral:ncRNA from 1 species
AUCGAAGAGGUUGCAACCAACAAGAGUAGCUGGUGGAGUUUCUGCAAAAAACCAGGAAGCCAGUCAAAGGGGCGGUUGCCGAAGCUUUAAUUAUUGCGGUAAUUAAUAAGCUGGGACGUAAUCUAACAGGUUACGGACUGUCGCAAUUUUAUAUUCGCGGAGCGCUAUCG